rnacentral:lncRNA from 1 species
AGUAACGAGCCGUUCAAACUUGUGUCAAGGUGUGGAUCACAGAGGCUGGGGGUCAAGAGGGAAGAGAAAUACAGCGACAAAUGGAAGGCUCUCCCUCAUUAGAGACACAGCCACCAGCAGAGACAAUCAGGGGGCCACAGUGGGUGCUCAGGGAUGUAGGCUGUAGGGCUCCAGGCUCUGAGUUGAGGAAAAUUGGAGUUAAAUUUCAGUGAAGUAACCCUGAGCAAGUCAGUCUCUGUCCAUCAGGUUCUUUUGUUUGUAAAAUGGAGGUAGCCAUGAGGAUUGUUCUGAGAAUGAGUUAAAUGGAAAGAUAUGCUCAAGAUGCCAGCGCAAAGCCAGAGACUCAAGGUUCGCAGCUGGUUGGAGCAAACCUCAAUGUCAGUGUGAAUCUUCCACCAUGGGAUUCAAGCUGCCUUGGCUCUAAAGUAAGAUCACAGCUGCAGUGAGCUGACCCCAACUCAAGAUGGAACCAUCUUAGAACAAGGUCUUAGGAUAAAAAGCCAAAGCUCUCUAAUGUGUUCUGUGAUAAAGAAGACUAUGGAACUGACAGUCCAAACCGAGAAACUGGGGAGAGAGAGGAGGCAUUAUUGUCAACUCCAGGUCAUCCAACCUGCACACAGCUUAGCACAAAGCAGGCCUCAGAUGCACGCUGGACAAAUGUGCUGGUAUCCUCUGCAUCCUUAUGGCCAGCAUGAUCCAUCCAGAAACCCAGUGGAACUGAGCCGCGAGCUGGAUUCCAGCUCACAGAACACACCAAGAACUCUGGUGAAACAUCAAGAACUCUGGGGGGUCCCCCCAGAAAAAUCUGGGGGGCACUGCAGAGCUUCUGACACGGCUCUGGGGGAAAUCCCACACGGAUGGGCAGCUGCCUGCAUCUGGCACUGUGGAGGUGGGCGGGCAGCCAUGGAGGAUGGGGAGACUCAUCUUUCUAGACUUCUCCUGGGGACCGCAUUUCCUCCAGCCUCCAGGUCCAGACCAAAAUAGAAUGAGGUAAAUUCAGCCCCUUUCCUGAAGCACACUCAAGGAAUAAACAAGCACCACAAAUACAG